GCGUCAGUAGUGUAGGGGUAUCAUGUGUGUCUCCCACGCACGCGACCCGGGUUCGAAUCCCGGCUGGCGCA
rfam:Hymenolepis nana genome assembly, scaffold: HNAJ_scaffold0000342